AACGUAGGUGGCAAGCGUUAUCCGGAUUUACUGGGCGUAAAGCGUGUGCAGGCGGCGGGGCAAGUGGUGUAUGAAAUCGCUCGGCUUAACCGGGCGGGGUUAGGCCAGACUGCCCAGCUAGAGUGCGAGAGAGGGGCGUGGAAUUCCGGGUGUAGUGGUGAAAUGCGUAGAGAUCCGGAGGAACCCCAGCGGCGAAGGCGGCGCCCUGGCUCGCAACUGACGCUCAGACACGACAGCAUGGGGAG
rnacentral:rRNA from 1 species